rnacentral:rRNA from 1 species
UUAAAAAGCUCGUAGUUGAAUUUCGGGGUUAGUAGGUUGGUCAUGCCUCUGGUAUGUACUGGUCUCACUGAUUCCUCCUUCCUGAUGAACCUUAAUGCCAUUAAUUUGGUGUUUUGGGGAAUUUGGACUGUUACUUUGAAAAAAUUAGAGUGUUUAAAGCAAGCUAACGCUUGAAUACAUUAGCAUGGAAUAAUGAAAUAGGACGUUCGAUCCUAUUUUGUUGGCUUCUAGGAUUGACGUAAUGAUUAAUAGGGAUAGUUGGGGG